GAUGAACGCUGGCGGCGUGCCUAAUACAUGCAAGUCGAGCGAACAGACGAGGAUCUUGCUCCUUUGACGUUAGCGGCGGACGGGUGAGUAACACGUGGAUAACCUACCUAUAAGACUGGGAUAACUUCGGGAAACCGGAGCUAAUACCGGAUAACAUGUUGAACCGCAUGGUUCAACAGUGAAAGACGUUCUUGCUGUCCCUUAUAGAUGGAUCCGCGCCGCAUUAGCUAGUUGGUAAGGUAACGGCUUACCAAGGCAACGAUGCGUAGCCGACCUGAGAGGGUGAUCGGCCACACUGGAACUGAGACACGGUCCAGACUCCUACGGGAGGCAGCAGUAGGGAAUAUUCCGCAAUGGGCGAAAGCCUGACGGAGCAACGCCGCGUGAGUGAAGAAGGUCUUCGGAUCGUAAAACUCUGUUAGUAGGGAAGAACAAAUGUGUAAGUAACUAUGCACGUCUUGACGGUACCUAAUCAGAAAGCCACGGCUAACUACGUG
rnacentral:rRNA from 1 species